rnacentral:rRNA from 1 species
CGUAGGGUGCGAGCGUUGUCCGGAUUAUUGGGCGUAAAGAGCUCGUAGGCGGUUUGUCGCGUCGACUGUGAAAACCUGGGGCUUAACUCUGGGCCUGCAGUCGAUACGGGCAGACUUGAGUUCGGUAGGGGAGACUGGAAUUCCUGGUGUAGCGGUGCAAUGCGCAGAUAUCAGGAGGAACACCGGUGGCGAAGGCGGGUCUCUGGGCCGAUACUGACGCUGAGGAGCGAAAGCGUGGGGAGCGAACAGGAUUAGAUACCCUGGUAGUCCACGCUGUAAACGUUGGGCGCUAGGUGUGGGGGACAUUCACGUUCUCCGUGCCGUAGCUAACGCAUUAAGCGCCCCGCCUGGGGAGUACGGCCGCAAGGCUA